CCCCUUUAACAGGAGCCCAUUCACCAACUCUCUGCUGUGGUAGCUGGGAGUCUGCUUUUGGGAAAAUUUCAGCCUGUUAGAAAGGUAAUCCAUUUCAUGCCAAUAUUUAGCUAUAUUAUUUUAACGCCAGUAACCCAAAAUAACAAUAAUUUGGUAUUGUAUGUUCUUCAGAGGAAAUUCCCUGUUGAAAAAAAAAGUGUAUUUGUCCUGUCCUGUCCUGUAUGCGCUCAUUGGAUUUUAGUGGUUAGUGGGUUUCUUAUAUUUUCUUAAGACCUACCGAUUCUGGAAUGUAUUAUAUAUAGCUAUUAAUUUAGCUGAUGCCAUACAGAAGUUAAAUUUCAUUAGUAAGUUAACUACAUAAAUCUGUCAUUGUGCAGAAUUACACAAAGGAACUAACCUUUUAUAGAUUGUCCACAUUUCUAAGAGAACACUGGUGAUCAACGAUCCCUUGAGUAACGAGGACAAAUAUGAGCAAAAUCUUGCGGAAUUGGAGGAACUUCUUGAGGUUGGCGGGCCGUGAGUUCCAAAUAGAAACUUGGACUACCAAAACUGUGGCCCAUAACAAGCAGCAGAACAACAGUAGCUGUGGGGUUUUCACAUUAAAGUUUGCGGAAGAGUAUAUGGCCAAUGGAGAUCUCAGGCACAACCAGACCCACCUUCCCGAAGUUCUGAAGGCUCGAGGAGAUCUAGCCUGUGCCCUCCUACAGGCUGGGAGUCUGAGAUGUCUAUUUAAAUUAAAAAAAUGUCUCAAAACUUA